rnacentral:rRNA from 1 species
AUGGCGCCGGAGCGGAGGCGUUCGGGGCUGGCGGCGGCGGCGGACGCGGCGUCGUGGUGCUGCGGGGUGGCGCUGGUGACGCUGCUGCUGGUGUCGUCGCUCCGCGCGGGCGAGGGGGAAGAGAGCGGCGGGGCAGUGGUGGUGCGCGGCGCGCGGAUCGCGUCGGCGUCGCGGCGGCCGUGCGACGAGAUAUACGUGGUGGUGGAGGGGGAGACGCUGCACAGCAUCAGCGACAGGUGCGGCGACCCCUACAUCCUGGAGCACAACCCGCACGUCCACGACCCCGACGACGUCUUCCCGGGCCUCGUCAUCAAGAUCACGCCGCGCGCCGCCGCUGACACCCGCAAAUGA